AUUAAUUCCUUUUGGCAAAGUAACGGGUUCCGUUUUAAAGAACGACUUAUUUGUGUCCCUUGUGGAGGAUGGAGAAGCAGACUUUACUUAGUGGAACUGUAUUCGGUGUGACAGGCAUAGGGACCGUCUACCAGAGUGUGUCAGCGAAUGAGGGCUUCGGCUCAACUCAAGCAAGGACAAGUGGAGAUUUGUAACUGACGUGUAGGGGCGAGUGGGUAUGGAAGGAAGCAUCGAGAGUAAGCAGUUUCUAGCCAAACAGACUCCCGGGCGUUAUUGCCGAAGACAGAUGGAGGCGCUGAGACGUCAGGAACAGAAAGACACCACGCUGCGGAUCCUUGCUACGUCCUCUACCCGCUUUCAUCUCCUGCCCUCCUUUUUUCUUUCCAGCAGUCUUUCCUCUUGUUUUCAUGUCUUUCUUUGUUUUGAUUUUUAUGACUUACUGAGCUUAGCUACAGUGUUGGCGCGAGCAUGGGUGUGGGGUUAUUUACCGGGUACCGGCAGCUCACCCAAGUUACACCACUGGAGAAACGACUCCUCCUGCCCGAGCCCAGCCGCCGCCAGCUCAACAACGAGAGCAGAGAGGGGAGCUCCUGACCCGGCUACUCAGAAGGGACUCGGAAACGGAUUCAAGCUUUGGCUUUAGGGGAGAACACUGGCUUGGCUUUUCCAGCUUCAGGAGGCCAUACACCAGCUGGGUGUGGCUCUUCGUCUUCUAAGCCCGAACUCUAGCCUUCUGAUCACGGUUUCUGCUCUGACUGUCCCCUUCCUCCUUCACGUGUGAUGACCUGAGCCCACCUGGAUGACCCAGGACAAUCUCUCAGUCCCCAAAGUCUAAGGUGACAUUUCCAGAAGCUGGAAAGCAGGGAGUGGGCAUGACCGCUUUUCAUUUUCAUUUUAUUUUAAAAUUAUUAGGCCCGUGCCACCACACCUGGCUUAUUUUAUUAUUAAACAUUAUUAUUACGUUAUGA